UUAGCCUACUACGAGUGUCAGUGACUCAGUGUCAACUAAUUAAUGGUUUAUUUCGAUGAUUGGCAAACGAUUUAUAUAUUUUCUGUGUAUAAUUCAUGAAGAUAACUCCAAGUGUCAGAAAUUGACUAAGGUUUUGUAUGGGGAAACGGAAUGAUGAAUAAAUAAUGCCAUGUAGCUGACAACGAGUUCAACCUAUUCUGUCCUCUCUAGCCCAAGAGUUCCUGAGUAUCGGGAAACAGCGUAUGUUUAUGAAGACAGGUUCAGGAAAAAAUGGACAUCACAACCGCCUCCGCCUCCCCCCUCUAUUAAACAAAAACACUCUUUCAGACGCCAGUGAAUAAAAAACAAAAACAAAAAACACUAAAUGUCCCGCAGGGAUAUGAAAGCUAUUUAAUAGCUGCAAUGCAUGAGUGCAUCUUCCUUCAACAGCAAUAUCUUAACUCUGGUAGAAACAGAGUCGUCGCCAUACGCUCUUACGAGCACCUGUUCCACUUCCCCGCCCCUACGAGUCGUUUUGUCCCUGGUAAAACGCAUAAUUCAUCCGGCUUAUUGCACGGUGCGCCUGAUCUGCAUUGCAAAUGGUACGCGAGGCUCUGUUAUGCCUUCGUCGAGAUUGCAUAGAAAGCAGGAAGCCCUGGGGCUGGGUUUGACCUGUGGUGCUACAUGUCACGCGAAGACAAGUGCUCUCUUUAGCAAGUGCUCAAGCGCUCGCUGUUUUAGGGCUUGCAGACUGCGUAUAUGAGUUAUC